rnacentral:rRNA from 1 species
UGGUGGAGUGAUUUGUCUGGUUAAUUCCGUUAACGAACGAGACCUCAGCCUGCUAAUUAGUUGCUCCAAUGUCUCAUUGGUCGUAGCUCCUUAGAGGGACUAUCGGGAUUCAACCGAGGGAAGUAUGAGGCAAUAACA